GGUAUGCGUACUUCUUACAUAACGAAUCAAUCUUUCGCCUUUUACUAAAGAUUGCCGUGUAAAAAGUACUUUAAAGCAUAAUACCACAAAUUUUUGUCGCUCCUUUUAAGGUGCG